rnacentral:tRNA from 1 species
GUAUAGUUCAGUGGUAGAGUGCAUGCUUAGCAUGCAUGAGGUCCUGGGUUCAUUCCCCAGUAC